GAUGAACGCUCGCGGCGUGCCUAAUACAUGCCAGUCGAGCGAACAGACGAGGAGCUUGCUCCUCUGACGUUAGCGGCGGACGGGUGAGUAACACGUGGAUAACCUACCUAUAAGACUGGGAUAACUUCGGGAAACCGGAGCUAAUACCGGAUAAUAUAUUGAACCGCAUGGUUCAAUAGUGAAAGACGGUUUUGCUGUCACUUAUAGAUGGAUCCGCGCCGCAUUAGCUAGUUGGUAAGGUAACGGCUUACCAAGGCAACGAUGCGUAGCCGACCUGAGAGGGUGAUCGGCCACACUGGAACUGAGACACGGUCCAGACUCCUACGGGAGGCAGCAGUAGGGAAUCUUCCGCAAUGGGCGAAAGCCUGACGGAGCAACGCCGCGUGAGUGAUGAAGGGCUUCGGAUCGUAAAACUCUGUUAUUAGGGAAGAACAAAUGUGUAAGUAACUAUGCACGUCUUGACGGUACCUAAUCAGAAAGCCACGGCUAACUACGUG
rnacentral:rRNA from 1 species